AGGUUGUGAUGUGGACACUUGUGCCAUAAGUCUCUAUAUCUCUCCCAUGCCUCAUAUAAUGAUCCACCCACAAGUUGGGUGAAGGUAGUAAUAUCAUUCAUUAACUU